CGGGGUAUAGCGCAGCCUGGUAGCGUGCCUGCUUCGGGAGCAGGAGGUCGUGAGUUCGAAUCUCGCUACCCCGACCA
rnacentral:tRNA from 1 species